rnacentral:rRNA from 1 species
CUUACCCGCUGGGAAUUAAGCAUAUCAAUAAGCGGAGGAAGAGAAACCAACAGGGAUUGCCUUAGUAACUGCGAGUGAAGCGGCAAAAGCUCAGAUUUGAAAUCUGUGCCCUUCCGGGCACCGAGUUGUAAUUUUGAGAUACGUUUUCGACCGACAGGCCUGCCUUAAGUUCCUUGGAACAGGACGUCACAGAGGGUGAGAAUCCCGUGAAUGGUAGGCCUCGACGCACACGAUACGUAUUCGACGAGUCGAGUUGUUUGGGAAUGCAGCUCAAAAUGGGUGGUAAAUUUCAUCUAAAGCUAAAUAUUGGGGAGAGACCGAUAGCGCACAAGUAGAGUGAUCGAAAGAUGAAAAGCACUUUGAAAAGAGAGUUAAAAAGUACGUGAAAUUGUUGAAAGGGAAGCGCUUGAGACCAGACUCAAUCACCGUUGAUCAACUUCAGUUCUCUGUUGUGCACUCGGCGGUUUUUGGGACAGCAUCGGUUCUGGCGGAGGGACAAAGCCUUAGGAAAUGUGGCACUCUUCGGGGUGUGUUAUAGUCCUUCGGGCAAUGCCUCCAGCCGGGACCGAGGACCGCGCCUCGGCUAGGAUGCUGUCAUAAUGGUCUUCAGCGACCCGUCUUGAAACACGGACCAAGGAGUCUAACAUCUAUGCGAGUGUUCGGGUGGAAAACCCUUGCGCGUAAUGAAAGGAACGAGGGGAA